GAUGAACGCUGGCGGCGUGCCUAACACAUGCAAGUCGAGCGAGAAGCUUAUGACUGAUACUUCGGUUGAGAGAUUAAGUGGAAAGCGGCGGACGGGUGAGUAACGCGUAGGCAACCUGCCCUUUGUCAGAGGGAGUAGCCUCGGGAAACCGGGAUUAAACCUACAUGACACUGUGUGCCCGCAUGGGUAGACGGUCAAAGAUUUAUCGGCAAAGGAUGGGCCUGCGUCUGAUUAGUUAGUUGGUGGGUAACGGCCGUACCAAGGCGACGAUCAGUAGCCGACCUGAGAGGGUGAACGGCCACAUUGGAACUGAGACACGGUCCAAACUCC
rnacentral:rRNA from 1 species